rnacentral:miRNA from 1 species
GCGGAUCGCGCGCUGGGUUCAGUGGUUCUUAACAGUUCAACAGUUCUGUAGCGCAAUUGUGAAAUGUUUAGGACCACUAGACCCGGCGGGCCUGCACGAAGCGA